rnacentral:misc_RNA from 1 species
UCUCCGUUGGUGAACCAGCGGAGGGAUCAUUACAGAGUUGCAAAACUCCCUAAACCAUUGUGAACGUUACCCAAACCGUUGCUUCGGCGGGCGGGCGCCCAGCGCGCCCACCGGGCCCCUCGCGGGGCGCCCGCCGGAGGUACCCCAAACCAUUUGAUAUUUAUGGCCUCUCUGAGUUUUCUGUACUGAAUAAGUCAAAACUUUCAACAACGGAUCUCUUGGUUCUG